rnacentral:sRNA from 1 species
AAAAUGGGUUGAUUCAUUGAUGAGAAAAGGUAAAAGACUUUAGGUGAAGU